rnacentral:lncRNA from 1 species
GUACCUAUCAUAGUCUUAUCCCCAUUUGUCAAUUAAGAAAACUUUUUUUCCAGAGAAAUGAAAUUAUUUUCUCAUGGCCUCAUAGCCAAGAAAGGUCAAAGCUAGGAACUAAACCCAGGAAGUGUCAAGAAAUCUCAGGAAAAUCUUUUUCUCUAGCCUCAAUCUGGAAGACAAAGCAGAACCAUAGGAAAGAAUAAGGCAAUAGUAGUAAUUAAAAUGAGUGCCUUGUUUAUGAUAUCUUUAAAAUAUGUGAAUCAUUUUUGUAUAUAGUAUUUUUUGAUAUAAUAACCCUGGGAGUUGAUGCUAUGACAUUCUGUAUUUCACAGAUUAGAAAACUGAGGAGAGCUCAAUUAAAUGACUUGUCGAUAUGACAGAGAGCUAGUUCUCCCUGAUUCAAAACCCCAUCUUUUUAAUACUUGUGUUCCUUGGGUGAUGUAAAAUGGCAGCAAAUCAUAGAGUUCUACAAUCUCUCUGAAUAGACAUCUGAAGAGAUGCAGGUCAUCCAAAGGGCAAAGGAGAAAAAUAUGGUGGAGAUGAGAAAACCAAGAUCCACUGUAGAUAUGGGACCUAUCCAAAGUCAUACAAUGUGUUAAAAACAGCUGGCACAAGACCUUACAUCUCCAGAUUUCUGAUCCAGGACACUCUCUCCACUAGCUAAAACUGCCUCUACACAAUAACAUUGAGAAGCCAUGUACAAUCAGUUGCAUUUCUAAUCUGAUUAACAUUUCUAUGAUUUCAAA